rnacentral:misc_RNA from 1 species
AAUUAUCAACCUUGUUCGCUUCUACGAGCUUGAGCAAGGCUUGGAUGUGAGGGCUUGCUGGCUUCCUUCAGUGGAUGGUCUGCUCCCUUUAAAUGCAUUAGUGGGAUCUCUUGUGGACCGUCACUUGGUGUGAUAAUUAUCUAUGCCAGUUGACUUUGAAGCAAACUUUAUGGGAGCCCGCUCAUAACCGUCUCGCAAGAGACAAUUUUUUAUUG